GUUGAACGCUGGCGGAAUGCUUUACACAUGCAAGUCGAACGGCAGCACGGACUUCGGUCUGGUGGCGAGUGGCGAACGGGUGAGUAAUGUAUCGGAACGUGCCCAGUCGUGGGGGAUAACGUAGUGAAAAUUACGCUAAUACCGCAUACGAUCUAUGGAUGAAAGCGGGGGAUCGCAAGACCUCGCGCGAUUGGAGCGGCCGAUAUCAGAUUAGGUAGUUGGUGGGGUAAAGGCCCACCAAGCCAACGAUCCGUAGCUGGUCUGAGAGGACGACCAGCCACACUGGAACUGAGACACGGUCCAGACUCCUACGGGAGGCGGCAGUGGGGAAUUUUGGACAAUGGGCGAAAGCCUGAUCCAGCCAUUCCGCGUGCAGGAUGAAGGCCCUCGGGUUGUAAACUGCUUUUGUACAGAACGAAAAGGUUUCUACUAAUACUAGGAGCUCAUGACGGUACUGUAAGAAUAAGCACCGGCUAACUACGUGCCAGCCGCCGCCGUAA
rnacentral:rRNA from 1 species